AUGCUUUCUACCAAGACCACUACCCGUGCUUCGAACCCAGGCCCCUGGCCUUCAUCCUGCGAUAUACACACUCUUAGGCAGAGACCCAGACCACCUCCCUCCUCACAGAAGUACCUGAACUGGAGGAGCAUCAGGACCCUGGCAAGGCACCUGCCCAGCUGCUGCGAUCUCUGCCAUCCGCUUCUCCAUCUGCUCCAGUCGCUCUAGUAUGGACAUCCGGAACUGGUUGUCUGAGGGGGAACGGGUAUGGGAGGCUGAGUGGGCAGUCUAGGUGAUGCCCUGAACACCAAAAGUAGACCUGUCCCAAGAUCUGGGGAUGAGGACACAGAACCAUAUUCUUUUAUCUUCCCCAAAACAACAGCUCCUUUACCCCUUCACCUAAAUAAAGCCCACCAGGACUCAGUCCUUAAA